UACGUAGGGGGCAAGCGUUGUCCGGAAUCAUUGGGCGUAAAGCGCGCGUAGGCGGGUUGGUAAGUCCGCUGUGAAAGCCCGGAGCUUAACUCCGGAGGGUCGGUGGAUACUGCCAGUCUUGAAGGUGCUAGGGGGGAGAUGGAAUUACCGGUGUAGCGGUGAAAUGCGUAGAUAUCGGUAGGAACACCAGUGGCGAAGGCGGUCUCCUGGGGCGAUUCGUUGACGCUGGAGGCGCGGAAAGCCUGGGGGGAGCAAACGGG
rnacentral:rRNA from 1 species